rnacentral:rRNA from 1 species
UAUUCCUACGGGGGGCAGCAGUGGGGAAUAUUGGGCAAUGGGCGCAAGCCUGACCCAGCAACGCCGCGUGAAGGAAGAAGGCUUUCGGGUUGUAAACCUCUUUUAUCAGGGACGAAGCAAGUGACGGUACCUGAUGAAUAAGCCACGGCUAACUACGUGCCAGCAGCCGCGGUAAUACGUAGGUGGCAAGCGUUAUCCGGAUUUACUGGGUGUAAAGGGCGUGUAGGCGGGAGUGCAAGUCAGAUGUGAAAACUAUGGGCUCAACCCAUAGCCUGCAUUGAAACUGU